UACGUAGGGGGCUAGCGUUGUCCGGAUUUAUUGGGCGUAAAGAGCGUGUAGGCGGCUAUGCAGGUCCGCUGUGAAAACUCGAGGCUCAACCUCGAGACGUCGGUGGAAACCGCAUGGCUAGAGUCCGGAAGAGGAGAGUGGAAUUCCCGGUGUAGCGGUGAAAUGCGCAGAUAUCGGGAAGAACACCAAAGGCGAAGGCAGUGUCCUGGGUGGUCGCUGACGCUGAGAGGCGAAAGCCAGGGGAGCGAACGGG
rnacentral:rRNA from 1 species